rnacentral:rRNA from 1 species
UACAGAGGUCUCAAGCGUUGUUCGGAUUCAUUGGGCGUAAAGGGUGCGUAGGUGGCAGGGUAAGUCGGAUGUGAAAUCCCGGGGCUCAACCUCGGAACUGCAUUCGAUACUGCUUUGCUUGAGUACUGGAGAGGAGAUUGGAAUUUACGGUGUAGCAGUGAAAUGCGUAGAUAUCGUAAGGAAGACCAGUGGCGAAGGCGGAUCUCUGGACCGACACUGACGCUGAGGCGCGAAAGCGUGGGGAGCAAACAGG